UACGAAGGGGGCUAGCGUUGCUCGGAAUCACUGGGCGUAAAGGGUGCGUAGGCGGGUCUUUAAGUCAGGGGUGAAAUCCUGGAGCUCAACUCCAGAACUGCCCUUGAUACUGAGGAUCUUGAGUUCGGGAGAGGUGAGUGGAACUGCGAGUGUAGAGGGUGAAAUUCGUAGAUAUUCGCAAGAACACCAGUGGCGAAGGCGGCUCACUGGCCCGGUACUGACGCUGAGGCACGAAAGCGUGGGGAGCAAACAGG
rnacentral:rRNA from 1 species